rnacentral:rRNA from 1 species
GUCUUCUGACUGUAAAGUUCUUUUAUUUACGAAAAAAAGCUUGAUAGGAAAUGAUUAAGCCUUGAUUGUACUAAAUGAAUAAGUGACAGCUAACUAUGUGCCAGCAGCUGCGGUAAAACAUAGGUCACGAGCAUUAUCCGGAUUUAUUGGGCGUAAAGGAAGCGUAUGCGGACAAAUUGAUCUAUUGUUAAAGGCACUUGCUCAACGAGUUGUUUGUGAUAGAUAUCGUUUGUCUAGAAUUAGUUAGGAGAUACUGGAAUUCAAUGUGUAGCGGUGGAAUGCGUAGAUAUAUUGAGGAACACCAGAGGCUAAGGCGAGUAUCUAGGACAUAAUUGACGCUGAGGCUUGAAAGCGUGGGGAGCAAAUGGGAUUAGAUACCCCAGUAGUCCACGCCGUAAACGAUGGGUAUUAGGUAUUUGGUCUAGGACUGAGUGCUGUAGCUAACGCGUUAAAUACCCCGCCUGGGUAGUAUAUAUGCAAAUAUGAAAC